CAACCUAACUUGUGUUACAAAAAUGUUAGAAUUGGUUACGAGCUUUUUUUCUUUGGGUGAUACCUAAGUUGAAACAUAAGAGCUAAAUCUCACUAGCGGUGAACGUAUUCCGCAGCUUUGGCCCCGCCGACUGUGACGUGUCCUACCCACCGGCCUUCAAAUUCGAAAGCGUCUCCCUCAACUCCCUCUGUUUCUCCUUCCCCUCCUCCUCCUCCUGACUCCUCGACGAAACCCUAGGCUUUCUCGUCCUCCAAAUCCCUCUUCGUCCCCGUUUCCAAUCCCUCUUUCGCCAAUCGAAUCCCUCCCAAGGUAACAUCGGCUCCUGUCAGUAACCCUUUUCGUCCGUCGCCGCUCGGACGGAGGCUUCUCUCUCAGGCAUGUUGGGACUCUCCUGUGUCCCUCUUUCGAUCCCGUUGUCGCCCUGGCGAAAAUGAUGCUACUGUGGUGUUAGUGAGCUUGGAGACGCCGCAUUGAAGAAGAAGAAGCUUCAUUCCGUUGUCUCUGCUCAUCGAUCGCGGCCUUACAAAGAGCAGAUGUUCCUCGGAGGUGUAGGAUGGUCUUCUGUACCUUUAAUCGUGGAUACCACCACCUAUCUUAUCUCUCUGAUGAAGAAGUGUCAGUUCGUCGAGAAAUGUCUCAAAAUCGUUGACGAGAAAACCAGAAGGAUGGAUCAGUCAGAGAGUAUUUAGCUGUCUUAUGGCUUUCAUCAGCUAGAUGGGUGGAUACUUCUACAACUAUCUGAUUUACCAAAUAUUGCUAUGGAGCACUCUGGAGGCAGGCCCUGAGGAAACCGGUUGACGUCAUUGCAGUAGUUGUAGAUCAUGUAGUUCUUCUGCGCCCAUCUCAUCCUCGCAUGGCUCGCGGAAUCCAGCUCUUGGUUCCACCACCCACUCUUGGCAGGCGUGCAGCUGGACCUACCGGAAGCCUUAAUGCAUGCAUUGGCAUUAAAAUUCCUGUAGGAGGCGACGAAGGGUGCCUUCGUCCAAUCGGUCUUGAUGAGCCCUCCUCUGGUAGCCCAGUCCUCAGCGUUCCAGAGGCUGGAGUAGAUCCUCAUGGGUUGGUUCUUGGGAAAUGCAAUGCCCCUCGAUUCCAGGUUCUUGAAGUCUCUGAUGGGAGUGCCAUCAACCAUGAAGCUGAGACCAUCACAAGCCAGCGGUAAGAUUCAAUUUCAUGUCUCACCUGUGGUAAGUUCGCUUUACCGCAUACAGAAUUUUGAGGUCUUACAUGAUGUGUCUUGGGUUCCAGAGGAUGGAGUAGGUGUGGAAAUCCUUGGUGGGAUCAAACCAGAGCUUGAACUGCAUCUCCCUGUUCCCCUUCCCCUGGGUGAACACAUUGGUGUGCAGAGUGUAAGGGUCUCCGCUGAGAUUCCCGAGGAACUCGAAGUCGAUCUCGUCAUGAGUCGGUCCUUGCGAAGACAACUGCAAGAACAAAUCAGGCCGAGCUUAAGGCAUCAGCUCCGGCAACUAGAGCCAUGAAAGCGAAGGCAUGUCUGGGGGAAGAGCUUACGUAGUAGGCGGUGACAGUGCCGGCAGAGUUCCCGGGCACGAGUUUGAUCUGCAUGUCGAUCUUGCCGAAGAGAUACUCGUUCUUGGACUGGAAGCCGGAGCCGGAGGCCUUGUCGAGGGAGAGGGUAAGGAGGUGACCAUUGUUGAGGAUCUUGGCACGGCCGUCGCCCCAGGUGAUGUCGAAGUCCUGGUAGAAGUUACUAGCGGAGGCAAUGGCGACCAAGGAGCAAGCCAGCACAAAAAACCUCAUUGCCAUGGUAUGCAAUAGCAGAAACGUUAACAAGCUUUGUAGGAGGGGGAAGCAGAUGACGAUGAGACGCGGGGUCGGCGGACGCGGCCAUGGUGCCAUGGUGCUGCUGUUUCAAGUGGUGGAGCGGCCUCGGACGAAGGCCUCGUGAUCAUGGUCCACUAAAGCGGGCGGCUCCGACAAUUGAAUGCGACUGACCAGGUGG